rnacentral:rRNA from 1 species
AUUCUUGGUCAUUUAGAGGAAGUAAAAGUCGUAACAAGGUUUCCGUAGGUGAACUGCGGAAGGAUCAUUACAGAAAGUAAACGCGGGUCAAACCGCGAACUUCUAAACCUUUGACGAUUGACUCAUGUUGCCUCGGCGGGUUCGCCCGCCAGAGGAUACAUCAAAACUCCUGUUUUAACGGUGUUGUCUGAGCUACAAGCAACGAAUCAAAACUUUCAACAACGGAUCUCUUGGUUCUGGCAUCGAUGAAGAACGCAGCGAAAUGCGAUAAGUAGUGUGAAUUGCAGAAUUCAGUGAAUCAUCGAAUCUUUGAACGCACAUUGCGCCCCUUGGUAUCCCGAGGGGCAUGCCUGUUCGAGCGUCAUUUCACCACUCAAGCCUGGCUUGGUGUUGGGCGACGUCCCUUUGGGACACGCCUCGAAACGCUCGGCGGCGUGGCACCGGCUUUAAGCGUAGCAGAAUCUUUCGCUUUAAAAGUCGGGGCCCCGUCUGCCGGAAGACCUACUCGCAAGGUUGACCUCGGAUCAGGUAGGGAUACCCGCUGAACUUAAGCAUAUCAAUAAGCGGAGGAAAAGAAACCAACAGGGAUUGCCUCAGUAACGGCGAGUGAAGCGGCAACAGCUCAAAUUUGAAAUCUGGCUCUUUCAGGGCCCGAGUUGUAAUUUGUAGAGGAUGCUUCGGCGUCGGCUCCGGUCUAAGUUCCUUGGAACAGGACGUCAUAGAGGGUGAGAAUCCCGUAUGUGAUCGGUUGCCGUUGCCAUGUGAAGCUCCUUCGACGAGUCGAGUUGUUUGGGAAUGCAGCUCUAAAUGGGAGGUAAAUUUCUUCUAAAGCUAAAUACUGGCCAGAGACCGAUAGCGCACAAGUAGAGUGAUCGAAAGAUGAAAAGAAUC